rnacentral:rRNA from 1 species
AUGAACGCUAGCGGCAGGCUUAAUACAUGCAAGUCGUGGGGCAGCGCAGGUAGCAAUACUGGGCGGCGACCGGCAAACGGGUGCGGAACACGUACACAACCUUCCGAGAAGUGGGGAAUAGCCCAGAGAAAUUUGGAUUAAUACCCCGUAACAUAACGAUGUGGCAUCACAUUGUUAUUAUAGCUUCGGCGCUUCUUGAUGGGUGUGCGGCUGAUUAGAUAGUUGGCGGGGUAACGGCCCACCAAGUCUACGAUCAGUAGCUGAUGUGAGAGCAUGAUCAGCCACACGGGCACUGAGACACGGGCCCGACUCCUACGGGAGGCAGCAGUAAGGAAUAUUGGUCAAUGGACGCAAGUCUGAACCAGCCAUGCCGCGUGAAGGAUUAAGGUCCUCUGGAUUGUAAACUUCUUUUAUCUGGGACGAAAAAAGGCGAUUCUUCGUCACUUGACGGUACCAGAUGAAUAAGCACCGGCUAACUCCGU